rnacentral:ribozyme from 1 species
GGCGUACAAAAUCCUAUCGUGCAACCUCCCCGUGGUGUAUGCCGGGUUAUGCUAAUGCGGAAGG